AACGAACGCUGGCGGCAUGCCUAACACAUGCAAGUCGAACGAGACCUUCGGGGCUAGUGGCGCACGGGUGCGUAACGCGUGGGAACCUUCCCUUAGGUUCGGAAUAACUCCCCGAAAGGGGUGCUAAUACCGGAUAAUGUCUUCGGACCAAAGAUUUAUCGCCUUUGGAUGGGCCCGCGUUGGAUUAGCUAGUUGGUAGGGUAAAAGCCUACCAAGGCGACGAUCCAUAGCUGGUCUGAGAGGAUGAUCAGACACACUGGGACUGAGACACGGCCCAGACUCCUACGGGAGGCAGCAGUGGGGAAUAUUGGAAAAUGGGGGAAAGCCUGAUCCAGCAAUGGCGCGUGAGUGAUGAAGGCCUUAGGGUUGUAAAGCUCUUUUACCCGGGAUGAUAAUGACAGUACCGGGAGAAUAAGCUCCGGCUAACUCCGUG
rnacentral:rRNA from 1 species